AAUUGUCUCUUCGCUUCUUCUCAGCUUCUCUUUCUGUUUCGAGUCCAUCCCGACAUUCUCACGCUCUGAAGGUUACUCGAAUCGAAGAACACCUAUUUUCCUUUUUUACACUUUUCUCUUUCCCUCUUCUCCUGACAUCCGCUCCCACAUUUUGUCUCGGCUGUUGACACUGCAGCGCGAUAGACGCAUCCAGUGACACUCCAAAACAUCACCGCGGAGCUGAGUGUGCCACAUUCUUUCUCCCUCUCUUUUUCCGCUUAACACAGGAAAGAGGCAUUCUCACGCAGACGAAGGCGGCAACGACAAUCAGCAGAUUUGAAUCGGGAAGCACUCUCUUAGAAGUGAGAAGAAAUUCUGAAGUAGGAACAGCCCACGAGUGAAGGACAAGGACAGAGCGCUGCAAAGAAACUUGUUUUUCCUUGGCCACUCGCUCACAGCAACUGUUCCUUUGUCACAUCUCUACCUUCCUUGCCCUUCUUCUGUCUGCCAAUCCAUUCAUCACAUUCGUUGUCGCCUCCCCCAACGAUACCCAUUUGACAUCGCAUACCUCUCUCUGUUUCCCACUCCUCUUCGAACAGACCCCCCCUCCCUCUCCUUUUCUGCCCCAGACCAACACACGCACAGACGUCUUUGCUGAGCUUCGACACCUUCUCUCCCCCUUUUCAUCUUUCUUGUCUUCUAAUACUAUAACUAACUAAGCGGGAAGGAAAACGGGGAAGAAGGAAAAGGAAACAGCAACUUCGAAAAAGAAAGAGUACAAGCGAAAGACGAGAAGAGGCGAAGGAUCAAAGUGAGGCAACGAAAAAAAAAAACACAGAGAGCAACAGAAGGAAAGAGGAAGGGGGAGGCAAGCAGGAUUGGAUUGUAGUGGCAUCGAAGGCACCUGAGCAAGAUAGAACUGUACAUCGAUAUAUAGAUAGACACGCACAUAAAGAAGAGGGGCAUUUUCUGUUCGUCUUCUUGUCUUUGUGUCCUGUCUUCUGUCUUUUUUUCUGACGCCACUUACCCUUUGCUUUCCUCCUUCCUUUGUUUUCCCUCGUCCUGGCCUGUCUUCUUAUUGUCUGUUUCCUUCUCUUUGUAUCUGCAUCAUCUUCUAUCCAGUAUAUAUAUAUAUAUUAUUUCGUUGGCGCUACUCCUCGGUGUUUUUGUUUCGAUUGCGUCCUUUAAAAUUUUUUUUUUCCCUCAUCUUCCCGCUUCUCUGCUUCAGGAAAAAAAAAAGAAAACCGGCACACAAACACUCGCAGAACAAGCAAAGUUGUCUUUUUUUUGCUUCUCGUCGUUGCCUUGUUUGUGUCCGGCUUUUUGUUGUUGGCAUCUGCGUUGACCAUAAACAGACACAAGUACACACGGACAUACAGGCAGGCCUUCCUCGUUCAUAUUAUCAAUUUUUGUUUCUUCUCAACUUUCAAUGUGAGUAGAUACAAAAAAAAAGGGAUCAAAAACGGGCUGUUGACGUGAUACACGCCAGAGAGAACCUCUAAAGAGCCACACGCAGUUGCCGACGCGUUUAUAUACGCGCGUUGUGUCACCUCUUUUUGUUGGAUCACACUGCAUUUCCGUUGGUCUGGUGAGCUGCGCUGCGAAUGAGCUAUACGACCCAUCUGCGAGAGCCAGCACCCUUUGCGGUGCCUUCCUUAGCCUCAAAAGGGAAGGGCGACGACUUCCAGCAGCCGUUCGGCGGAGAAACGUGUAACGGGUACACGGCGACCGAGGAGGGAAGCGCGGCACCUACCGCGGAGGUGAGUGAGGAAAAGCACAGCUCCAGCGCUAGCUCAGAUUACAAGAAGGAAGAUGAGAAGUGGAUCUGGGUGCUGGACCCGAUGACCCGCAAGCUGCGGGUACCGCUGCACUUGCUCGUUCCCACCCACGCCACCUCGACACCUGGAACGGUGCCGUCGCUGUGCAUAGCCUUCUUGGAAGGCCGAUGCCGCCAUGCUUGGUGCCGCCAGGCGCACGUGGUGCCGUCUGCUAUCCCGCAGCUGCGCUACGAGGCGCUGAGCUCACCCACGUGCUGCCACUUCCACCAAGACCCGCAGGACAUCUCGAUGCUGAAAAACCACUUCAAGUACAUUCUCAUAACUGGCAACGGUGGCAGCAACGAGCUGAUUCCUGCGGACCGUGUGGCGUGCACAGUUGGGCUGCGCCGCUACUUGGUGCACAACGUCCCAAAGAAGUCCGUCUGCGCGUCCAUCAAUGCGGCAGAGAAGCGAUUGGUGCCCGAAGAGAACGAUAUCCUUGAGCUGCCGGCAAAGUUCAUUUGCCGUUUGCACUUAGCGCAUCGCUGCCGGUACCUGGAUGACUGCAACAACAUCCACAUUUGCCGCGAGUUUGAAGUCCGCCUGCAACCGCCUCCGCAGAUCCUGAGCUCGCUCAACUCCGUCACCACCUCGACGCGCACGGUGAACAUCGGUGACACCUGCUACACCGUCACCCCGCUGGCGGUUGGCGACGUGAGCGACGAAGAUUUCAACGCCAUAGCUGAGGCGAAAAGGAUCAACCACCGUAACGCCAGCACGCCUGCAUCCGCGAUCUUUAAGAGUGCCGUCCCGCCAUACGACGCGGCCCUCGGCGGCAGCAGUGAAAACGGCAGCCCUAUGCCUUACUCCGCCGCUGGUGGUGCCUUCCCGACGUUCCCUGAUUAUCGUGGCGCACUACGCACGCCCAACACCAGUGCGGUGACCCCGCCGUCGGGGCAGUCACCGGCCUUCCUGCAUGCAGAGUCUCCGUCGCAGAUACCGCCAGGCGGCUUCGGCUUUGGCGGCCACCUGCGUGUGUACGAUGUUCGUCCCAAAAAUCAGUCCGACACGGUGACGCCCAGCUGCACCAACAGCCCGGCGAUGAAUCCCAAUACACAGGAGAAGAACGGCGCGGGCGGAAAGAUCGCCCCGCCCAAGUACACAGACGGUGCAUCUCCCACGGCCAUGGCGUCCCGCUCCAACGGGAUGAGCGGAAGCGGCUGCGCGAGCAGCCGCACCGAAGGCGGAAUGAGUCUCGCGACGAGCGAGGCGAACACUCCCUUGGCUACCGGCGGAUACAGCAUUAUAUCGGGGCGGACCGCUGUCACAACGAGGAAGUAGCCGAACUCCUGACUGCCCGGCAUACACUGUGUGCGCGUGGCUGGCUCGUAUUCGCUGGUACUGCUUUUUUUUUUCACGUCUUCCUGUCCGUUGCCUGCUCUUGGGCGCCCUGUCAAGUCCGUCUCACUUUCGUCCUCACAAUACUUCUCUCAACGGCUCCGCUGCUGCAACGGCUGCCAAAGACCGUCCUUAAGAGGGUGAAAGCAAGAAGAUGGUAUGGAAGAGGUGGGGAGAUCAGGCAGCUUUUAAGUAAGCCAGUUCUAACUCUGUGCUUGACUCUCUGUUAUUGCUUUGCUUUACCUCCCCUUUUCCCGUCUUGUUAUGUUGGUGAUAAUGGUUCACACGUGUCUUUUUCCUUUUUUCGGCAUCCCCCCUUUUUUCCAUUGCUCCCACGGCGAAUGUGCGACUUCUUCUCACGCGUCGCUCUGCUGAUUUCCAUCGAAUAGCACGAGCCCACCCCUCCCUCCCUCCCCAUCCAGUGCCUUCUUUCGCUUCUCCCGUAAACGGAACAUUUAGGGGGGGAGAUCGUGGUGCCGCGCGUAUAUUGUGUGCCCUUGUGCCAGUGUGCGAAUGUCUAAGCAUGUGUGCGUGUGUGUGUGCGCUGUACUCAUGCGGGAUAACAGCAUCGGGGGUACCGUGAGAAGGGUCGUCAUCUACGUUUCCCAUAGAUCGCAUAUCUUUGCUUUAUUUUCACCUCUUUUUGUUUUCUCUUCUCUUCCCCUCUCUCUCCUGUAACGCACUUCAAGCUUUCCGCUUUUUCCACCUUUUUUAUGUGCGAAUUUCACCACCUGUCAUUCUCUUUACUUCCUUCUUUUCUCUCUCUUGUAUGCGCUGCAUUGCUGCGUGCACCUCGAAUUGUUCUUUUUUGCCCUCCCCAUCGAAAAGAAAGCAGCACGCAGUAAGUAAUCGAUUAAUGCAUACACCAAAAGCGGCAGGACUGAUGAGGAGCUGGGGAUGGCGAAGGCCCAGCUCUUUAGGCCAGUAGGAAGAGCAAGAGCAGCGAAGACCAAACCAUUGAAUGCAAACACAAAAGAAGAUAAUGUUUGAUGGUGGUGAAUACGUACAAAAAGAGGAGUGUGUGUCAGAGGCUGUAUCAACUUAAUCUGUUUUCUUAUUUCUGCUGUUCUAUCAUCUUUUCAAAGCCUCGAUGACGGGGAACACCUCAGCGCGUGGCACCUCAGGGACCAGUGCACCCACUUUCUCUCCGUGGGAAAAGCCAAGCAGCCCCCUCCCCCACCCCCUGCCAAGUGCCGAGCCGCUUCUGGUGGUGACGGGGUCAGGUACCUACGCCGCAGGGGGGAGGGUUAAGAGCGAUGUGUCGCUGCUGGUGCCGGCGGUGGCGUCCUGGAUGACGUUGCAUCGGAGUGGCCCGCGACAGCGAGGCAGAUCUGUAUCCAUCCACAUGAUGGGUAGAGCGUCAUCGUGACCCGAGCGUCUCCCACCCGGCCCGGCCCUCACACCGCCCACUGGUGUGGGUGGGGUGCCCGAGCGCCACCGCGAGGGGGAUGCGCCCGGUGGCGGCCGGCAUGGUGGGCGCGGCUGCGCGGCGCCCCGCGAAGCGUGGGCUGUGGGCGUGGGUGGGGGCCGUGCUCUCCGAUGGCUGGGUCGGCGCAUUGCUGUGGCGCGUGUGUGUCUACGGCUGCCAUCGGCCCACGCGAGGUUGGGCCUGUGACACUGGCCGGGCGUAGAAUGGGGCUCGACUAAUGUUGUAUGGAAGAAUGGGUAUAUGAGGAAAAAAAUUGUGCUCUUGUUUUUAUAUUUCCUUUGAGUUUUGCAGGUGCGUGGCCUGUAGGAUGGCGUGCUUACGUUUGUCAAGUUUCCCGCCUCACUAUCUGUCGCUCUUGUUUUUUUUUUUUUCGUCUUGUGCUGUUUAUCUCUCUCGCCUCUUGUUUUCCUUGUAGUUAUCUCCAAACCCUGUUUUUCCUCUUUAGCACCGAAUACGUUGUCACUUUGGAGGUGCAUGCGGCGGGAUGUGGUGAUAGUUGUGGGGGUGGCGCCGAGUGUGUGCAUGUGACUGUCCAUGCGCUUCUUUGCGCGGCCCUAUGCUGCCGCUGUUAUUGCUUCCAUUUUUUCCCCUCUUUGCCAUGUCUCUCUCUCUCUGACGCCCCAGACAUUCACUGCCCCAACAUGCAUUGUUGCCACUCCUGUGAUACAGCAGCGAAACGGAAAAAAAGGGAGAUAACGUGCGAAGGGCUUGAUGGCGUUGAGCGUGUCUCCGCUGACGUUGUCCUUUCACAUUUUUCUUCGCGGCUUCUCAUUUUUAUUUGCAACACUGUUAAUUAAUAAUUGAAGAAAGAGCGACGGAGGGAGAGGGAGGGGAGGGGCAGAGAGUCAGCCAGAUGAGCAGUUGAACUGUAGAGUGCAUGUCUGAUAGAGAAGACUCAGAGCAGGAGGAGGAACCAGAGUAACGCGCAAGCGAGCAAGUGGGAGACCAGUGUUUCAUAAAAGUGGAUCCCGCACCAUCAUCGUUUCUCUCUUACGCAAUGCAAUUUACGACAUCACUUGCGACUGCUACUACAGCUACCGACUAAGAUCUCUCUUCGCCUUUGUUCUUGUUUUGUCUUUCUGUCUUUUCACUUUUGGUAUGGUCAUCUUCUUUUUCCCCCUGGUGUGCUACGAUGCUUUCGUCCGUGCGGCUGCGUGUGUUCUUUGUGUAUGUAUGUCCAUGUCUAUGUCCUGGGUUCAACUGUUUAGUUAGUUUUUUUAUCUUUUUUUUUCGCUUCCUCCCUUGAUGUCGUAUCUUGCUCUCUCUCUCUCUCUUGUGCUGUAUUACGUACACCAAAGAAG
rnacentral:misc_RNA from 1 species